rnacentral:rRNA from 2 species
UUGACCUCGGAUCAGGUAGGGAUACCCGCUGAACUUAAGCAUAUCAAUAAGCGGAGGAAAAGAAACCAACAGGGAUUACCUCAGUAACGGCGAGUGAAGCGGUAACAGCUCAAAUUUGAAAUCUGGCCUCACGGUCCGAGUUGUAAUUUGUAGAGGAUGCUUCGAGCAUGGUCUGGCCUAAGUUCCUUGGAACAGGACGUCAUAGAGGGUGAGAAUCCCGUAUGCGGCCAGGUGCCUACGCUCAUGUGAAGCUCCUUCGACGAGUCGAGUUGUUUGGGAAUGCAGCU